AAACCCCCAAACCAGAAAACCCCAAACCCUCUCCGCCAACCACCACGAAAAACCACCCCCAUUUCACCAUUUUUUCACCAUUUUAGCUCAUUUUUGUUUCUAAAUCUUCUAUUUUUCAUACCUAAAACUAUAUACCUGAAAAGAUCACAUUUUUCCUCAUUUUUUAGGGUAAACCGAAGGUAGAGGUAGUGGUGGUGGUGGUUAUACCUCCGGCCACCGUUUUUAGUGGAGAAAACAUUGUAUUUCAACGUCUAUUAAGGUUGUGAGGUCAAUUUGCAAGGAUCUGACUUAUUUGGUAUUGAUCGGUUUCUAGUUAGCUCGAGGAUUUUAUCGGAAGUGACUUUAUCGGAAGACAAGUACAUAAUUUUUGGUAUAAGGUAUGCUUUCUUUAACCUACUUUUAUAAGAAUAUUUUUCAUAUAUAUUUAGAUAAUCUUUAAAUGCUUAGAGUAAUUUUAGAAUAAUAUUGAUGUAAUACAUAGGAUAUAUAUUGUUGAGUGCUAAGAAUAGAUAUAGUAAGCUAUAAAAAAAUACAAAAAAGGUCUAUAUUGGGAUUUGAACUUGUGACCAAAAGGAUAGAUUGAUAAGUUUUUACCAAUAUACCAAAACACAAUAGAAUUAACAAAUACAUUAUAAACAUUGAUUCUAAUACUUAAAAUAAGAAUUCUAUUAGUUUAUGUUAAGUAAAAUAGCAAAAUAAAACACAAAAAAUACCCAAGUUCAAAAAAAAAAAAAAAAUCGCCUCAAGCGAACAACUCGAUCAAAAGUUAUUAAUAAUGUUCAAAGUUUUCAAAAAAUUUUAUGCAAAUUUUAACCCUUUAUCUAUAAAAAUACAAUACACUACAAAAAUGAUACUAAUAUAUUAAAAAAAAUUAUAAAAAUAUACUAAUAUAAUACAAAAAUACAAACCCAUAAUAUAAAAUAUUAAUAAAAAGAUAGCUAAUAUAC